UCAGAAGCUGUGAAGAGAAGAGUACGCUUUUUCUCCCGCGAAAGAGAGCCCCGGAAGGUGCGAGGGGGUGCGGCGAGGGGAGCGGAACAUGGUCUCGGAGCUGAGCCAUUGAGCAGAUAUAUUCUGGGUAAAUGGUUCCGGUUUGCCCCGUUACAGGCGUUUGAGGCACGGAUAGGAUGUCUGUGCGAAUCAAGGUGGUACCGCGUCAGUUUUUGUCGCCCUUGGA
rnacentral:ncRNA from 1 species